rnacentral:lncRNA from 1 species
AGUGUCUCUACACUCCUUGGUUAAGAAGACAACCAACUCAUAUGGCACAUAACGACCUACACUUAAUAUCGCUAUCGUCUUAAUAAUAGCGUAUCAUUUGGUCGCGAACAAUUUUAAGGACUUAACGAUAAAUCCUCCUUUAUCGAUUAAUAUAUAUAGUCCUAAAGACUUCAUUACAACACAAGAGUUUAAAGAUGAUCAAUUUGUAAUGAAAAUAUUAGAUAAUUUUUAUUAAUAAUAAUUUAUAUACAGUUUACAA